rnacentral:rRNA from 1 species
AGAGUUUGAUCCUGGCUCAGAAUGAACGCUGGCGGCGUGCUUAACACAUGCAAGUCGAACGAGAAAGGGAUUGCUUGCAAUCCUGAGUAGAGUGGCGCACGGGUGAGUAACACGUAGAUAAUCUACCUUCAAGCCUGGAAUAACUAUUCGAAAGGAUAGCUAAUACCGGAUGAAGUUGAUGAAAGAUUGCCUCUUCUUGAAAGCAAUUGUUUGGAGAGGAGUCUGCGGACCAUGAGUUUGGUGGUGGGGGAAAGGCCUACCAAGACUGCGAUGGUUAGCUGGUCUGAGAGGAUGAUCAGCCACACUGGAACUGGCACACGGUCCAGACUCCUACGGGAGGCAGCAGUGAGGAAUUUUGCGCAAUGGGGGAAACCCUGACGCAGCAACGCCGCGUGAGUGAAGAAGGCCCUUGGGUCGUAAAGCUCUGUCGACAGGGAAGAAAAAAAUGACGGUACCUGUAGAAGAAGCACCGGCUAACUCCGUGCCAGCAGCCGCGGUAAUACGGAGGGUGCAAGCGUUACUCGGAUUUACUGGGCGUAAAGAGCACGUAGGCGGUUUAAUAAGUCUGAUGUGAAAGCCCACGACUCAAUCGUGGAAGUGCAUUGGAUACUGUUAGACUAGAGUACAGGAGGGGUGAGCGGAAUUCCAGGUGUAGAGGUGAAAUUCGUAGAUAUCUGGAGGAACAACGGAGGCGAAGGCGACUUUCUGGCUGAAUACUGACGCUGAGGCGCGAAAGCGUGGGGAGCAAACAGGAUUAGAUACCCUGGUAGUCCACGCCGUAAACGAUGUCAACUAGGUGCAGGGGGGUGUUGAUCCCCUCUGUGUCGCAGCUAACGCAUUAAGUUGACCGCCUGGGGAGUACGGUCGCAAGAUUAAAACUCAAAGGAAGUGACGGGGGCCGCAACAAGCGGUGGAGUAUGACGUUUAAUUCGAUGCAACGCGAAGAACCAUACCUGGUCUUGACAUCCCGCGCUACCCUGUGAAAGCAGGGGUUCUCUUCGGAGACGCGGUGACAGGUGCUGCAUUGCUGUCGUCAGCUCGUGUCGUGAGAUGUUGGGUUAAUUCCCGCAACGAGCGCAACCCUCGCCAUUAGUUGCCAGCAUUAAGUUGGGCACUCUAAUGGGACCGCUUGCCGAUAAGGCAGAGGAAGGUGGGGAUGACGUCAAGUCCGCAUGGCCUUUAUGACCAGGGCUACACACGUACUACAAUGGCCGGUACAACGGGCAGCCACUUCGCGAGAAGGAGCAAAUCCCUAAAAGCCGGUCUCAGUCCGGAUUGGAGUCUGCAACUCGACUCCAUGAAGUUGGAAUCGCUAGUAAGCGUGGAUCAGCAUGCCGCGGUGAAUACGAUCCCGGGCCUUGUACACACCGCCCGUCACACCACGGGAGUUGGUUGUACCAGAAGCGGUUGAGCUAACCUUCGAGGGAGGCAGGUUACUAUGGCAGUACCGAUAACUGGGGUGAAGUCGUAACAAGGUAACC